AGAAAAAGAAGAAGAAGAAGAAGAAGAAGAAGAAGUCCAGCUGUGACGACAGCUCCUCUUCUUCGUCGUCUUCAUCCUCCUCUUCCUCUGACAGUGAUGAUGACAAG